GAAAAUAUUAUAAUUAUUAUAUAAAUAUUGGGUAUUUAAGAUGUUUUCUUUUCUGAAUGUAUAAGGUGCACAAAUAU
rnacentral:tRNA from 1 species